CCUACGGGUGGCUGCAGUGAGGAAUAUUGGUCAAUGGACGAGAGUCUGAACCAGCCAAGUAGCGUGAAGGAUGACUGCCCUAUGGGUUGUAAACUUCUUUUAUAUGGGAAUAAAAUGUUCCACGUGUGGGAUUUUGUAUGUACCAUAUGAAUAAGGAUCGGCUAACUCCAUGCCAGCAGACGCGGUAAUACGGAGGAUCCGAGCGUUAUCCGGGUUUAUUGGGUUUAAAGGGUGCGUAGGUGGAUUGUUAAGUCAGUUGUGAAAGUUUGCGGCUCAACCGUAAAAUUGCAGUUGAAACUGGCAGUCUUGAGUACAGUAGAGGUGGGCGGAAUUCGUGGUGUAGCGGUGAAAUGCUGAGAUAUCACGAAGAACUCCGAUUGCGAAGGCAGUUCACUGGACUGCAACUGACACUGAGGCUCGAAAGUGUGGGUAUCAAACAGGAUUAGAUACCCCUGUAGUC
rnacentral:rRNA from 1 species